rnacentral:rRNA from 1 species
UGGGGAAUCUUAGACAAUGGGGAAACCCUGAUCCAGCCAUGCCGCGUGAGCGAUGAAGGCCUUAGGGUUGUAAAGCUCUUUCACCGGUGACGAUGAUGACGGUAGCCGGAGAAGAAGCCCCGGCUAACUCCGUGCCAGCAGCCGCGGUAAUACGGAGGGGGCAAGCGUUGUUCGGAAUUACUGGGCGUAAAGGGCGCGCAGGCGGUCUGUUGCGUCAGGCGUGAAAGCCCCGGGCUCAACCCGGGAACUGCGCUUGAUACGGGCAGGCUUGAAGCCGGCAGAGGGUGGUGGAAUUCCCAGUGUAGAGGUGAAAUUCGUAGAUAUUGGGAGGAAUACCGGUGGCGAAGGCGACCGCCUGGACGGGUACUGACACUGAGGCGCGAAAGCGUGGGGAGCAAACAGGAUUAGAUACCCCCGUAGUCC